CUGUGCGACGAGGAGGAUCUUCCG
rnacentral:rRNA from 1 species